UCCCUGCUCUGCGGCUGGAGCUGAUAAUAUGGCAUACUGUAUAGCAACCAUCUAGAAAUGGCCAGAGCCACACAGGGAAAGACAAGAAUUCUUGACGGCACGAUAAAAGAAACUUCCUGAUGGAAAUUGCUUGUCAUCGAACUACCUGUGUGCAUAUAAAGCUACCUCUCUGAACUACAUACAGUACAAGGAGCAACAGCUUAGGUUUUCCAGUAAAGAAGCAUGCAACACUCAGUGUCCUGGUCACAUAAAAACUCUUAUUGAAAUAUAAGUAACAGAUUUAACACUGGUGACGAGGAUUAAACUCUUCUUCUGCAUUGCUCCUGGGAUCAGUGGAGCACCAGUGGGCUGAUAAAGCACAAUUGUGGGGUGCAGAAAGGAGCAACACAUUCAGACUGCCAGCACCACCUAACCUGAAUAAAAGGAGCACAAAAUAGACCUACAGUGCUCAAGAAGCAGCAUUGGAGGUAGAAGAGGAGGCCCACAGCCUUGCACAUGCCCCCCCCACCCCUGACCAAUCUGCCUUUCCCGUCCAUUGCCCAGUCCACUAGCUCUUCCCCCCAACUGUUCACCCACCCAUGUGUAAAACCCCGCUGGUACUAGGUAUGCAAAAACUGCAGUCACUGUGUAUAGUGCAUCACACUUACUCUGCUCCGGCUGGUCAUAGGUUCAGGCACAGAUACCAGAGGGUCCCCUAAAUAAUCAGGUGUUUAAUUACAGUUGCAUUGUGGGAGUGGACUACAGGUGUCGGUGCAGCGCAUAAAGAAUUGGGCGCCAGGCCAUCUCAUAAAACAGAAUAACGAUUUAUUUAACAUCAAAGCAGGGAUAUAGCUGGGAUAACUUCUGAACACUCCCCCAGCACAAAUCAUAAUGGUUACAUUCGAUCACACAUCAGGGCACCUCCUCCAACGCAUCGCUUAAUGGCAGCGGCAUGAAUAUGGCGAACAGCAGUACGUACCAGGGCAUUCUGUGACCAGUAGUGCUACACAUACCAGGUUACCGUCUCUCUCUCUUCCAUAGCGAGGACUCUUGUCCAUGGGGGGCUUCUAAUCAUGCCACGUGGCUUCCGACCACUCACCCAGAUAUGUCCUCUCCUGAGACUCACACCUGGCACACUCUUCCAGGGCACCCCUACAGGUGGGCAUCACCCUCUCCCUGGACUCUGGGUACUGUUGCUCUCACACUGCGGUCUCUCCCUCUAUCAGGUGCCUUGCUGUGGCUGGCAGCUCUCCCCACAUGAACAUGUGAGGAGCUAUCACUGAGGCUACAUUUUCCUGGCUCAAACACCACGCUUCUCUCAGCUAACACACUUGCUUCUCCCAGCUAACGCACAUGCUUCUGCACUUUAUCAGCUUUUACUUCCUGUCCCCCCUCCUGCAUGAGGUGUGCACGUGAGAGCUGGCUGAGCUCCCAACCUCCCCCAAUCAGUGCACUGGACAUAGCCAUUGCUAUGCAUGAUAAAGAUACAUAGUUGUUAAACCUUGCAGUUCCAGGGUAUUACACAUGCUCUAGCUGAUACAAAAUCUUAUUAAUGACACUUCUACUGUUUGUAAUUUGAGGGUGUGUAGUACAAAGUAUGGUAUUACUGUGUUUGAGAUAUUUAACUUUGUUAAAAAUUUAGCCAUGCUCAUCUUACUGCGAUGUGGCAUGUUGCAUCACAGCAUUCUGCAUGGCAUGCCAGGCUGCGACCCGAAAGUGGUUUGUAUCUUAGUCAAUCAGUGGUCUGUGCCCAUGGUAGUAUCCACUCAUUGACUAAAAUGGAACACAAAGUGCAGGGGGAACACGUGGUCCCUGUCACUUUCGGAAGAAGCGAUAUAUGUAUAUACAUAUAGCGCUUCUAUGUUUGAUGGAGAAGGUGAGUAUGUACAGUGAGCAGGAGUGUAGGUGAGUAUAUUAAAGACUUAUACAUUUGGUGUGUGUAUUGUGCUUAUUUUUAUAUUUCCUUUACAGGGGGACUACAGUUGUCAGCGGGACCUUAAUGCCACGCAUGCUUACACUUGAGGUUCUCCAAGUGCAGCAGCAGCAUUACUGGGAUCUGUAGUCCCACUGUAAUGGACAAUAUUACUUUAAAAUCUAACUUUCACUACUUUCAACUCUUCACCUGUUGUCCAGGGUUGAAGGGGAUAUCCCCGAGCUGACUAGUAGGGGAGAUAAUGCUUUGGCCAUGGUGACCCUGUGAAGUGUGUCCCCUGGCUGUGACAUUACCUCCCUGCUGAGUCCAGGUUUAGUUCUUUAAAUACAGGGGACCACAACACAAUUUUCCCCCAUGUUUUUAGGGGGUGGUCUUCAGUAUGCCGACUGACGGGAUCCCGACAGCCGGCAUACCAACACUUAUUCUCCCUCGUGGGGGUCCAGGACCCCCCUGGAGGGAGAAUAAAGUAGCGUGGCGCGCGUAGCGAGCCACC